AGUGGGGAAUCUUAGACAAUGGGGGAAACCCUGAUCUAGCCAUGCCGCGUGAGCGAUGAAGGCCUUAGGGUUGUAAAGCUCUUUCAGCUGGGAAGAUAAUGACGGUACCAGCAGAAGAAGCCCCGGCUAACUCCGUGCCAGCAGCCGCGGUAAUACGGAGGGGGCUAGCGUUGUUCGGAAUUACUGGGCGUAAAGCGCGCGUAGGCGGGCUGUUAAGUCGGGGGUGAAAUCCCGGGGCUCAACCCCGGAACUGCCUUCGAUACUGGCAGCCUAGAGGUCGAGAGAGGUGAGUGGAAUUCCGAGUGUAGAGGUGAAAUUCGUAGAUAUUCGGAGGAACACCAGUGGCGAAGGCGGCUCACUGGCUCGAUACUGACGCUGAGGUGCGAAAGUGUGGGGAGCAAACAGGAUUAGAUACCCUGGUAGUCCACACCGUAAACGAUGAAUGCCAGACGUCGGGCAGCAUGCUGUUCGGUGUCACACCUAACGGAUUAAGCAUUCCGCCUGGGGAGUACGGCCGCAAGGUUA
rnacentral:rRNA from 1 species